rnacentral:rRNA from 1 species
GAUGAACGCUGGCGGCGUGCCUAAUACAUGCAAGUCGAGCGAACAGACGAGGAGCUUGCUCCUCUGACGUUAGCGGCGGACGGGUGAGUAACACGUGGAUAACCUACCUAUAAGACUGGGAUAACUUCGGGAAACCGGAGCUAAUACCGGAUAAUAUAUUGAACCGCAUGGUUCAAUAGUGAAAGACGGUUUUGCUGUCACUUAUAGAUGGAUCCGCGCCGCAUUAGCUAGUUGGUAAGGUAACGGCUUACCAAGGCAACGAUGCGUAGCCGACCUGAGAGGGUGAUCGGCCACACUGGAACUGAGACACGGUCCAGACUCCUACGGGAGGCAGCAGUAGGGAAUCUUCCGCAAUGGGCGAAAGCCUGACGGAGCAACGCCGCGUGAGUGAUGAAGGCCUUCGGAUCGUAAAACUCUGUUAUUAGGGAAGAACAUAUGUGUAAGUAACUGUGCACAUCUUGACGGUACCUAAUCAGAAAGCCACGGCUAACUACGUG